UACGAAGUUCCGUUAAUUGAUUAUGACGUGCUUGCACUGAAUGAGAUUUUAACACGAAGUGAGUGGCGGACGGGUGAGUAACACGUGGGUAACCUGCCCAGAAGCAGGGGAUAACACCUGGAAACAGAUGCUAAUACCGUAUAACAGAGAAAACCGCCUGGUUUUCUUUUAAAAGAUGGCUCUGCUAUCACUUCUGGAUGGACCCGCGGCGCAUUAGCUAGUUGGUGAGGUAACGGCUCACCAAGGCGAUGAUGCGUAGCCGACCUGAGAGGGUAAUCGGCCACAUUGGGACUGAGACACGGCCCAGACUCCUACGGGAGGCAGCAGUAGGGAAUCUUCCACAAUGGACGCAAGUCUGAUGGAGCAACGCCGCGUGAGUGAAGAAGGGUUUCGGCUCGUAAAGCUCUGUUGUUAAAGAAGAACGUGGGUGAGAGUAACUGUUCACCCAGUGACGGUAUUUAACCAGAAAGCCACGGCUAACUACGUGCCAGCAGCCGCGGUAAUACGUAGGUGGCAAGCGUUAUCCGGAUUUAUUGGGCGUAAAGCGAGCGCAGGCGGUCUUUUAAGUCUAAUGUGAAAGCCUUCGGCUCAACCGAAGAAGUGCAUUGGAAACUGGGAGACUUGAGUGCAGAAGAGGACAGUGGAACUCCAUGUGUAGCGGUGAAAUGGGUAGAUAUAUGGAAGAACACCAGUGGCGAAGGCGGCUGUCUGGUCUGUAACUGACGCUGAGGCUCGAAAGCAUGGGUAGCGAACAGGAUUAGAUACCCUCAGG
rnacentral:rRNA from 1 species